GAUGAAGAACGCAGCAAAAUGCGAUAAGUAAUGUGAAUUGCAGAAUUCAGUGAAUCAUCGAAUCUUUGAACGCACAUUGCGCCCGCCAGUAUUCUGGCGGGCAUGCCUGUUCGAGCGUCAUUUCAACCCUCAAGCACAGCUUGGUGUUGGGACUCGCGUUAAUUCGCGUUCCCCAAAUUGAUUAGCGGUCACGUCGAGCUUCCAUAGCGUAGUAGUAAAACCCUCGUUACUGGUAAUCGUCGCGGCCACGCCGUUAAACCCCAACUUCUGAAUGUUGACCUCGGAUCAGGUAGGAAUACCCGCUGAACUUAAGCAUAUCAAUAAGCGGAGGA
rnacentral:misc_RNA from 1 species